rnacentral:rRNA from 1 species
GAUGAACGCUGGCGGCGUGCCUAAUACAUGCAAGUCGAGCGAACGGACGAGAAGCUUGCUUCUCUGAUGUUAGCGGCGGACGGGUGAGUAACACGUGGAUAACCUACCUAUAAGACUGGGAUAACUUCGGGAAACCGGAGCUAAUACCGGAUAAUAUUUUGAACCGCAUGGUUCAAAAGUGAAAGACGGUCUUGCUGUCACUUAUACAUGGAUCCGCGCUGCAUUAGCUAGUUGGUAAGGUAACGGCUUACCAAGGCAACGAUGCAUAGCCGACCUGAGAGGGUGAUCGGCCACACUGGAACUGAGACACGGUCCAGACUCCUACGGGAGGCAGCAGUAGGGAAUCUUCCGCAAUGGGCGAAAGCCUGACGGGGCAACGCCGCGUGAGUGAUGAAGGUCUUCGGAUCGUAAAACUCUGUUAUUAGGGAAGAACAUAUGUGUAAGUAACUGUGCACAUCUUGACGGUACCUAAUCAGAAAGCCACGGCUAACUACGUG